CAUUGUGUAAGGAUGCCACACACGAGGUUUUCUUUUUGCGCAUCACAUGUUCCUUCUGCACUGUGCAAGGGUUCUGGUUCACGCUGCUAUUAGGGUUUCCUCUACCAUCCCUUGCCGUCAACACAAGAACGCAUCAACCUUGUCCCUCACUUUUCUGUUAGGGUUUGUUAGGGUCGUCCAUACCUUCACGGAUUACAGAAACCAUAAGCUUCACGACGCCUUGCCGUUAGUAGUCUCUGUAUUUUUUUCUUUCCCUUCAUCGCCGUUAGAACAUUACAUUUUUGUUAGACGGCAAGCAUAGUUUUCUUCCGUUUAUUUCACCGGUUGUCUUCAUUUAUAAAAGACAGGCCAUUGUUUGUAAUCUUCAACUUUGAUGAAUGAGAUAUCCGGUAGAGAUCACUCCCACCGUUCAUCAGCUCACCCAAACCCUAGAUUAGGUUUUGGCCUAUUAGGGUUUACCAAAUCAGCGAGAAACCAGAGCGAACCAAGUCAAAACCUUCGUAAUCGACCAUUCCACUGCAUUUCCCUUGCCUUCUGCGAGGAUCAAUCGGUAGAACACCGAUUGGAAGAGGUUUUCCGGUGACUACCGCGACGGAGGAUCCUCAUCAAGAAAACAAAUGGAAGAAAGUUUAUAUUUCAGAAAUCAAUUGAAGGAAAUAGGAAAUCGGUUGAAGAUCAAGGUUGGAUUUAGAAAAAACGGUCAAAGUUGGACAAAGGUUGAAAUAGAUAUAUGAUACUCACUAUAAAAAAUAGUGUAAGUUGUGACGUUUAUUUUUGUAUAUUACUAAUGAUGAGUUCAAAUUUUUGUUCUUA